rnacentral:rRNA from 1 species
CGUACACUCCGCGGGAGGCAGCAGUGGGGAAUUUUGGACAAUGGGCGAAAGCCUGAUCCAGCAAUGCCGCGUGAGUGAAGAAGGCCUUCGGGUUGUAAAGCUCUUUUGUCAGGGAAGAAACGGUGAGAGCUAAUAUCUUUUGCUAAUGACGGUACCUGAAGAAUAAGCACCGGCUAACUACGUGCCAGCAGCCGCGGUAAUACGUAGGGUGCAAGCGUUAAUCGGAAUUACUGGGCGUAAAGCGUGCGCAGGCGGUUUUGUAAGUCUGAUGUGAAAUCCCCGGGCUCAACCUGGGAAUUGCAUUGGAGACUGCAAGGCUAGAAUCUGGCAGAGGGGGGUAGAAUUCCACGUGUAGCAGUGAAAUGCGUAGAUAUGUGGAGGAACACCGAUGGCGAAGUCAGCCCCCUGGGUCAAGAUUGACGCUCAUGCACGAAAGCGUGGGGAGCAAACAGGAUUAGAAACCCUUGUAGUCCCAUGAU